rnacentral:rRNA from 1 species
UACGUAGGCAGCGAGCGUUGUUCGGAGUUACUGGGCGUAAAGGGUGCGCAGGCGGUGGAGCAAGUCUGUUGUGAAAUCUCCCGGCUUAACCGGGAGGGUGCGGCGGAAACUGUUCUGCUGGAGUGAGGGAGAGGCAAGCGGAAUUCCCGGUGUAGUGGUGGAAUGCGUAGAUAUCGGGAGGAACACCAGUGGCGCAGGCGGCGUCCUGGACCGGCACUGACGCUGAGGAGCGAAAGCGUGGGGAGCGAUCCGG